UAGUCCACGCCGUAAACGAUGUCAACUAGCCGUUGGAUUCCUUGAGGAUUUAGUGGCGCAGCUAACGCGAUAAGUUGACCGCCUGGGGAGUACGGCCGCAAGGUUAAAACUCAAAUGAAUUGACGGGGGCCCGCACAAGCGGUGGAGCAUGUGGUUUAAUUCGACGCAACGCGAAGAACCUUACCAGGUCUUGACAUCCUAGAAAUUUAGCAGAGAUGCUUUAGUGCCUUCGGGAAUCUAGUGACAGGUGCUGCAUGGCUGUCGUCAGCUCGUGCCGUGAGGUGUUGGGUUAAGUCCCGCAACGAGCGCAACCCUUGUCGUUAGUUGCCAUCAGACAGUGAUGUGCUGGGCACUCUAACGAGACUGCCCGUGAUAAGCGGGAGGAAGGUGGGGAUGACGUCAAGUCAGUAUGGUCCUUAUGCCCAGGGCUGCACACGUGCUACAAUGGACGGUACAAUGGGUAGCCAAACCGCGAGGUGGAGCCAAUCCCCAAAACCGUCCCCAGUUCGGA
rnacentral:rRNA from 1 species